UUACGGCCAUACCACCCUGAGAACGCCCGAUCUCGUCUGAUCUCGGAAGCUAAGCAGGGUCGGGCCUGGUUAGUACUUGAAUGGGAGACCGCCUGGGAAUACCCGGUGCUGUAAGCU
rnacentral:rRNA from 1 species